UUUUAAUUUUUGCUGACCACAAAUAACUGUAAAUUUAAAGUGCAAAGAGAGACAAGAAAAAUCAAUCACCAAUUUUAUUUGUAUUGUAACUUCAGUGAAUUAAAGUGCAUGUGUUUCUAGUUAAAACAGAUAUCCAUAUUUAAAAAAAAAAAAAAAAAAAACAAUUUGUAUACAUAUUAAUAAAACAUUGUGUAUUAAUAAUUAAAUAAAAUUCAAUAAUUAAAAAAAUCUGCAAUUGUAAAAUUAUAGUGAAUAUAAUAGUUGCAUAUUGUUUUCCAAAGGCGUAUCAUAAUAAUAAAGGCAAAUUGAAAAUGUUCCAAACUGAUCAAACAUCUUCUAGUAAAGUUCUGGAUGCCAACCAAAAAUUCGCCCCUGAAGACAACGCUGGAAUUUGUUUACAAAGUUUAAAAGUCGAAAAUUUUAAGGCAACAUAGUCUGCUUGUGUAAAAUUUCAUAUAAACCAAAUGCAUUCUGAAUGCAAAAAUAUUAAGAAAGCUGCUACACAAUGGCCACAGUACAGAGGAUCGAUUGAUUCAUAAUUGAUUGAUUGGGAUUUUAAAAUCAUACAACGAUACUACACAACGAUCACAAAAUGUGAUCCCCAGCAAUUCAAUUAUUUUCCUGGAAUAUUUUAAUAAUAUUUUCUAUUUAU